rnacentral:rRNA from 1 species
AACGCGAAAGGCCCCUUCGGGGGCCGAGUAGAGUGGCGCACGGGUGAGUAACACGUAGGUAAUCUACCUCUGGGUGGGGAAUAACGACCGGAAAUGGUCGCUAAUACCGCAUAAUGCAGCGGCACCACAUGGUGACAGUUGUUAAAGCGGGGGAUCGUAAGACCUCGCGCCUAGAGAUGAGCCUGCGGCGGAUUAGCUAGUUGGCAGGGUAACGGCCUACCAAGGCAACGAUCCGUAGCCGGCCUGAGAGGGCGGACGGCCACACUGGCACUGACAUACGGGCCAGACUCCUACGGGAGGCAGCAGUCGGGAAUUUUGGGCAAUGGGCGAAAGCCUGACCCAGCAACGCCGCGUGAAGGAUGAAGCUUUUCGGAGUGUAAACUUCAUAAGAAUGGGACGAAUAAGGAGGGGUUAACACCCCCUUUGAUGACGGUACCAUUUGUAAGCUCCGGCUAACUCCGUGCCAGCAGCCGCGGUAAUACGGGGGGAGCAAGCGUUGUUCGGAUUUACUGGGCGUAAAGGGCGCGUAGGCGGCGCAACAAGUCACUUGUGAAAUCUCCGGGCUUAACCCGGAGCGGCCAAGUGAUACUGUCGUGCUAGAGUGCGGAAGGGGCUACUGGAAUUCUCGGUGUAGCGGUGAAAUGCGUAGAUAUCGAGAGGAACACCUGCGGCGAAGGCGGGUAGCUGGGCCGACACUGACGCUGAGGCGCGAAAGCCAGGGGAGCGAACGGGAUUAGAUACCCCGGUAGUCCUAGCCUUAAACGAUGAAUGCU